GUGCUCGCUUCGGCAGCACAUAUACUAAAAUUGGAACGAUACAGAGAAGAUUAGCAUGGCCCCUGCGCAAGAAAAGCCGAACCAAUAGGAACAUCUAGCUCAG